rnacentral:rRNA from 1 species
CAGCCGCCGCGGUAAUACGUAGGUGGCAAGCGUUGUCCGGAAUUAUUGGGCGUAAAGGGCUCGCAGGCGGUUUCUUAAGUCUGAUGAGAAAGCCCCCGGCUCAACCGGGGAGGGUCAUUGGAAACUGGGAAACUUGAGUGCAGAAGAGGAGAGUGGAAUUCCACGCGUAGCGGUGAAAUGCGUAGAGAUGUGGAGGAACACCAGUGGCGAAGGCGACUCUCUGGUCUGUAACUGACGCUGAGGAGCGAAAGCGUGGGGAGCGAACAGGAUUAGAGACCCCAGUAGUCCCUGUCUCUUAUAC